rnacentral:rRNA from 1 species
AUUGAACGCUGGCGGCAGGCCUAACACAUGCAAGUCGAGCGGAGCGGCGGACGGGUGAGUAAUACCUAUGAAUCUGCCUGGUAGUGGGGGAUAACGUCCGGUAACGGGCGCUAAUACCGCAUACUAUCAGAUGAGGCUAGGUCGGAUUGGCUAGUUGGUGGGGUAAAGGCCUACCCAGGCGACGAUCCGUAACUGGUCUGAGUGGAUGAUCAGUCACACUGGAACUGAGACACGGUCCAGACUCCUACGGGAGGCAGCAGUGGGGAAUAUUGGACAAUGGGCGAAAGCCUGAUCCAGCCAUGCCGCGUGUGUGAAGAAGGCCUUCGGAUUGUAAAGCACUUUAAGUUGGGAGGCGUUACCCGCAGAAUAAGCACCGGCUAACUUCGUGCCAGCAGCCGCGGUAAUUC